UGAUGUGGAGACAAAACUACAAGAAAAAUAAGUCUCAGUUCGGAUGAAGGCUGAAAUUCGCCUUCAUGAAGCCGGAAUUGCUAGUAAUGGCAGGUCAGCAUACUGCCGUGAAUACGUUCCCGGGCCUUGUACACACCGCCCGUCACACCAUGAGAGUUGGGAAUACCCGAAGCCUGUGAGCUAACUUUUAGAGGCAGCAGUCGAAGGUAGAAUCAAUGAUUGGGGUGAAGUCGUAACAAGGUAGC
rnacentral:rRNA from 1 species